rnacentral:rRNA from 1 species
GGUAAAGCUUUUGCGGUUUGGGAUGGGCCUGCGUCCUAUCAGGUAGUUGGUGAGGUAAAUGCUCACCAAGCCUAUGACGGGUAGCUGGUCUGAGAGGAUGGUCAGCCAGACUGGGACUGCGACACGGCCCAGACUCCUACGGGAGGCAGCAACUAGGAAUUGUGCGCAAUGGACGAAAGUCUGACGCCGCGACAUCGCGUGGAGGAUGAAGGUCUUCGGAUUGUAAACUCCUUUUCUUACCGAACAAGUUCUGAGUGUAGGUAAGGAAUAAGUGCCUGCUAACCACGUGCCAGAAGCAUCGGUAAUACGUGGGGCACGAGCGUUAUCCGGAUUUACUGGGCGUAAAGAGAAGCGUAGGCGGCUCGAUAAGUUUGGUGUUAAAUCUUCCGGCUCAACCGGAAACAAGCACCGAAAACUAUCGAGAUUGAGUCGAGUAGGGAAGAGGGGAAUUCCUGGUGGAGCGGUUAAAUGCGUAGAUAUCAGGAGGAAUACCAAGGGCGAAGGCACCUCUUUGGACUCGUACUGACGCUGAGGCUCGAAAGCGUGGGUAGCAAAACGGAUUAGAUACCCGUGUAGUCCACGCCGUAAACGAUCCCUGUUAGAUGUAUGUUUUGUC